rnacentral:rRNA from 1 species
CGGAAACCGGAGCUAAUACCGGAUAAUAUAUUGAACCGCAUGGUUCAAUGGUGAAAGACNGGGUUUUGCUGUCACUUAUAGAUGGAUCCGCGCCGCAUUAGCUAGUUGGUAAGGUAACGGCUUACCAAGGCAACGAUGCGUAGCCGACCUGAGAGGGUGAUCGGCCACACUGGAACUGAGACACGGUCCAGACUCCUACGGGAGGCAGCAGCC